rnacentral:rRNA from 1 species
ACCUCUGUUGCUUUGGCGGCUCCGGCCGCCAAAGGACCUCCGAACUCCAGUCAGUAAACGCAGACGUCUGAUAAACAAGUUAAUAAACUAAAACUUUCAACAACGGAUCUCUUGGUUCUGGCAUCGAUGAAGAACGCAGCAUCGCUUGAGUCUCCCAUCAAUAACGAACCAAGCAGUCUUCAGGUGCCACAAGACCGCCCCCGAAGGUCAUCUAGGCGGCCGGUGGCCGAUGCAUCUCCAAAUAUGGGGGGGCACGUUUCGUUUUAAACUCACCAACUCACCCCAGGAAUUCAGAGUC